rnacentral:rRNA from 1 species
GAUGAACGCUGGCGGCGUGCCUAAUACAUGCAAGUCGAGCGAACAGACGAGGAGCUUGCUCCUCUGCCGUUAGCGGCGGACGGGUGAGUAACACGUGGAUAACCUACCUCUAAGACUGGGAUAACUUCGGGAGGCAACAGAUAAUACCAGAUCAUAUAUUGAACGGCAUGGUUCAAUAGUGAAAGACGGUUUUGCUGUCACUUAUAGAUGAAUCCGGGCCGCAUUAGCUAGUUGGUAAGGUACCGGCUUACCAAGGCAACGAUGCGUAGCCGACCUGAGAGGGUGAUCGGCCACACUGGAACUGAGACACGGUCCAGACUCCUACGGGAGGCAGCAGUAGGGAAUCUUCGGCAAUGGGCGAAAGCCUGACCGAGCAACGCCGCGUGAGUGAUGAAGGUCUUCGGAUCGUAAAACUCUGUUAUUAUGGAAGAACAGAUGUGUAAGUAACUAUGCACGUCUUGACGGUACCUAAUCAAAAAGCCCCGGCUAACUACGUG